CGGACAGAGAGAGAUUCUUCCCCCCACUGGGGGAGGCGGAGUAACUGCGCCAACAGCAGAAUCCCUCGGGCUGCAGGACUUGCUGCGGCAGCCCAGCCGUGCCAGGCACUGGGGUGUUUUCAGUGGGGUGCACAAGCCCCAGGGGAGAAGCAAUCUCUCCGAGCAGGGAGGGGGGAGGAGGAACCGACUCUUGGAGCCGGGCCAGGGCAGAGACAGAGCAGGAAGGGGGCAGGAGGAGCAGGGAGGAACAGACUCGCAGGGCGGGGAGGAGGAGGAACCGACUCUCGGAGCAGGGCCAGGGCAGAGACAGAGCAGGAAGGGGGCAGGAGGAGCAGGGAGGAACAGACUCGCAGGGCGGGGAGGAGGAGGAACCGACUCUCGGAGCAGGGCCAGGGCAGAGACAGAGCAGGAAGGGGGCAGGAGGAGCAGGGAGGAACAGACUCGCAGGGCGGGGAGGAGGAGGAACCGACUCUCGGAGCAGGGCCAGGGCGAGGAGGAUCCGAGCGUGGGGAGGAGGAACAGACUCACAGGGCGGGGAGGAGCGGAGCGGAGGCGGGGGAGCGGCGCGGAGGCUGGGUGGGUGUCUCCCCAUCACUUGUAAAGGGCUGUCAGGACAGGCUGCCGCACUAAGGGGGCGUGAGCGGGUAACCCCCGAGCUCUUGCGCGGCUGCUUUGCUCUGCGCUCCUUCUGCCCGGCUCCCCGGGGCGCCCCCUGGGACCAGACAUCCCCGCGGGGACAUUCUCCAUCCCUGGCUGACCCCACGGGCUGCGGCGGCUUCCCCAGCCCGGUGCAAGGCGGACCGGGGCGUGACAAACCCCUGGAGCGCUGAGAUCCGGGUCAGGCGCUGUCUCUUUGACAGGGGAUCUGGAGGAGACCUGCUGAUGGGGGCUGGGGCAGGGUUGAAAGGCUCACAGAGUAUUUCCCUGACACACACACACACACCCCCAUGCUAUGAAAACUCCAGGGCGGGGUUGAACAUAUUUACCGGAGCUCCCCCCUGGGCUGGGGCGAUGGUGUCUGUAAAUCGCAUGGUUUUCGGGGUGGAGAUUAUGUAAUUUCCCUGCAUCCGCACUGGUAAUAGCUCUCGGGUAGCUCUCGCAAGCCAUUUUAAUUAACAGCAGGAGACCACAACGCCCCACAACCCUGGAGAUCAGCUCACCCGGGGAAGCUGCCGAGGCUGGAGGAGCCGGGGUUGGGAUCCCCUGCAGCUGCCUGGGAUGGACACUGGGGCCUUGGAAGAAACCGCUGACCGCGAGAGGGGCGCUGAUCCCAGCCCAGUGCCCGCAGGACACAGCUGUGUCCGUCACCGAGAGAGGCGGCUCGGAGUGCGCGCCCCUGACCACGACCUGCCCUGGAGCAGCCCCCCGGUGGCCAUGCAGACCCAGAGAGACUGUGGGAGCCAGGUUAUCAACAUAAACGCCAGUUCAGGAAACACAGCUACACAUGGAGUGAAUUGGCAAUCUUGCCCAUCACCCUAGUUACUCCAGCAGGAGUCACAUCUGACUGCGGAGUUGGGGUGCAGAGCCCUCUGGCUUCCCCCGGAGCCCCGCCUGUGCGGACUCGCUGCGGGAAGCGCACGGUGUGAGAAGGGGAUGCUGAAUGCUCCGAGGCAGACCCAGGAAGGUCGAAGCAGUGUAAGCUUCUUGCCCUGGAGACAGCAUGCUCAUGGAGAGGUGUCUCCCCCAGAGUCCUGACUGGCUUCAUAUGGAGUAGUUCCCUUUGGCUGCUCCGCGCACCACUGCUCAUACCGCACCCUCUGCAAGGACCUGGGGCCCGGUCAGCUGGGGCGGGUUCCAAGUUAAAUGUUACUGUUUCCCAGCAGUCCAAGCAAACUGGAGCUGCAGCCAGAGCCACUGCUCUUCCCUCAGUGCCUCCUUGGCUGGGAUCGACGGUGAGCAGGGCGCAGUGAGAGAAACACACAGAUGCUUCUGUCGUCACAACAGCCUGGGCCUGGCAACGACUGGCAGGGCUGGAAUCAGGCUGGGCUCAGUCCAUGUGGCUGGGAGGUCAGAGUGAUGAGACUCACCUGCCUGCCCUUAAAGCCUAGAUGGGUGAAUCCCCCUCUGUAGGGCCAGGCCAGUUGAGUCUGCUGUUAUCCUUGUAUGACCAUGAGAAGCGGGGAAGGGGGUAUCCCACUGAGGGUGAGGCCUCCUUUCAUGCUAAGCCUUCCCUUUGAGGCUCCCUGCCCUGCUGCGGUGGGAGAGAGCACAGACUCCCCGGGCACAGAGUCCUGUGCGACAGGGACCAGUGAGCAGGGUUGGAUACCUGCUCUCCCUCUGCUUUCCUUAUUUCCCCCAGGUUUUCAUGCUGUGCUACGAGGGUUUCCCUGAUCACUGGAUCGGCCUCCGGAGGACCCAGGCCAGCCCUGGAAAUGGGCCACUGGCACUGAAUUCGAGCCUAGGCGAGUUCCUCCUUCCUGGUUCCUGAUGCCAGAGCGAAGGGGAAGGAGAGGGAUUGAAUCCAGGGCUUCUGUGCUGCUGCCAUGCCAUCUCUUGCCUGGGACUGGGGAGAAGGUGGAGGCGUGAAAGGGCCUUUGCAAGCCCGGGGAGAGCGAGAGUCCUGGGAUAAAAGUGCCCGUUCAGUCCAUGGUUUUUAGUGUGCAGCAAAGUUAUGAAUGCAAGCGCCAGGCUCGGCUUUGGAAGGUGUCAGGCAGGUUUCCUUUGAGGACAGGGUGGAAAGAUCAGACCUGGAGUGAGCGCUGUGUGACAAGCGCUUGCCCACGGGUGACAGUGUUUUUUGUCGGUAUCGUUUGGUCCAGUAAAAGCUGUUACCUCUCAGGCAACGUUGGCUGGAAGGGACCAGUAUGCAGGGAAGGGGCAGAGGUGGAUUAAGGUCUCCUGGGCCAGAGCAAGUGGGGGGCCCCUCCCUGCCCCUUCUGCCUGUGGUCCUACCUCUGUUCUCCCCCUUUGGCUUGCGGCCCCAUCCCAUUCCAUCCCUUUUCCAUGGCCCUGGCCCUGUUUCUCCCAUGGUUCCUCCCCAACAAAUCAAGACAUUGCAUCGGAGUGGUUUUUCCAAGCUUGCUCCAGUUGGGGAUUCACAUGAUGAUUACUUAAAUUUAUGCUGGAUUUUUGGAUUCAGGGGGAUCAUAGUGAAACUAGGAGCAUCAGCUGGAGCCAGCCACAGCCCAAACUUCUUGUACACAGCUCUGCUAAAGGAACUUUGUCCUGACCUGCAAGGCUCCUGCCAUCCCAGUAUUGGGCCUCAGAGCCCUGCCAAUACAACUUGAUACUGCUGCA